ensembl:snRNA U5 U5 spliceosomal RNA
UAACUCUGGAAAAUCUUCAUCGUAUGUUUCUUUCGCCUUUUACUAAAGAAUUCCGUGGAGGGGAGCAUUUCAAUGAGUCUUAAGAUAUUUUUCUGCACCUGGCUUCUGUCAGGU